rnacentral:rRNA from 1 species
CGGCCGAACAAGUCCGUCGGGAAAUCUGCUCGCUCAACGAGCAGGCGUCCGGCGGAAACUGUUCGGCUUGGGGCCGGAAGACCUGAGGGGUACGUCCGGGGUAGGAGUGAAAUCCCGUAAUCCUGGACGGACCGCCGGUGGCGAAAGCGCCUCAGGAAGACGGACCCGACGGUGAGGGACGAAAGCUAGGGUCACGAACCGGAUUAGAUACCCGGGUAGUCCUAGCUGUAAACGAUGCUCACUAGGUGUGGCACUGGCUACGAGCCAGUGCUGUGCCGUAGCGAAGGCGCGAAGUGAGCCGCCUGGGAA